rnacentral:rRNA from 1 species
AAUACCCUAUUAUUUUAAAAGUAAUUAUAUUAAAUCUAAUUAGUAAUAGUUAAGUUCUUGAAAAUUAAAGAAUUUGGCGGUAUUUUAGUCUAUUCAGAGGAAUCUGUCCUGUAAUUGAUAAUCCACGAUUUUUUGUACCUAAUUUAUUAGUUUACAUAUCGCCGUAGUUUGAGUAUUUUUUGAAAAUUAUAAUAUUCAUAAUUUAUUUUUAUUAAAAAAAUCAGGUCAAGGUGUAGUUUAUAGUUAGGAAGAGAUGGGUUACAAUAAAAGUAUUUAUUAUGGAUUAAUUAAUUAAAUUUUUUUAUGAAAGUGGAUUUGAAAGUAAUUUUAUCUA